CUUGGUACCUUCGUACUACCCUGAGCACACCUGAUCUUGUCAGAUUUCAGAAACUUUGCAGGGUUGAGCUGAAUUAGUAUCUGAAUGGGAGUGUAUUUGAAUGGGAGUUCACCAAGA
rnacentral:rRNA from 1 species